UACGGAGGGGGCUAGCGUUGUUCGGAAUUACUGGGCGUAAAGCGCACGUAGGCGGACUGUUAAGUCGGGGGUGAAAUCCUGGGGCUCAACCUCAGAAUUGCCUCCGAUACUGGCAGUCUCGAGUGCGGGAGAGGUGAGUGGAAUUCCCAGUGAUAGAGGUGAAAUUCGGUAGAUAUUGGGAAGAACACCAGUGGCGAAGGCGGCUCACUGGCCCGUAACUGACGCUGAGGUGACGAAAGCGUGGGGAGCAAACAGG
rnacentral:rRNA from 1 species